rnacentral:rRNA from 1 species
UGACUGACUGAAGAGUUUGAUCCUGGCUCAGGAUAAACGCUGGCGGCGCACAUAAGACAUGCAAGUCGAACGGACUUAACCAUUAGUUUACUAUUGGAGCGGUUAGUGGCGGACUGGUGAGUAACACGUAAGCAACCUGCCUAUCAGAGGGGAACAACAGUUAGAAAUGACUGCUAAUACCGCAUAUGCCUAAGUAUCGCAUGAUACAAUAGGGAAAGGAGCAAUCCGCUGAUAGAUGGGCUUGCGUCCGAUUAGCUGGUUGGUGAGGUAACGGCCCACCAAGGCGACGAUCGGUAGCCGGACUGAGAGGUUGAACGGCCACAUUGGGACUGAGACACGGCCCAGACUCCUACGGGAGGCAGCAGUGGGGAAUAUUGCACAAUGGGGGAAACCCUGAUCAGCGACCCGCGUGGAGGAAGAAGUCUUCGGAUUGUAAACCCUGUUUUGGGGAAAAGAAGAUGGUACCAACAAGGAAUUGACG